CCACGGGGUGCUCCCUUGAUUUGAUUCUCUACCCCUUCUUCUAGGGAUGGGGCUUCCUGAGAGCCGAUCUGAAGUGAUUUUUACUUCUCUUCUGGAAUUUAGCAGAUCUACCAGGCUCCACACUGAUACUGGGCAGUGUCUGCAGAGUUCUGUGAUUUGAUCCAUCUUCAGGUUUCUCAGCCAUGGAUACCAGCUUCUGCUCUGGUAGAAGUAAGCAAAGGAGUGAAACAGAUUCCGUGAGGGUCCUUGGUUUAUUUUUGCUAAGUGUGCUGGUUUUGUGUCAGUUAGUCUCCAGCCGGGAUGUGGCACUUUCAAGAGUGCAUCAACUGCAGUAGUAUAGAUAGGAUACAAGCUUGCCCUAGGGCCAGGCAUUGGGUGAGGUCAUAGAGCUCUCAAGACAUUAUGUCCUUGGUCUUCAACUACCAGGGUGGAUAGAGAAGAACUGUCAGGUAGGCACAGGGUUAAGGGUGUCUGAGAUCAGACUCUUUUUGGGUGGGGCUUGCUGCAGCAGCUGUGGUGUAUGGGGGUGUGGUUCUCAGGCCAAUGCAGUUCUGUUUCCAGAGGUAUUAUGGCUGCCUCUGCUGCAUCACAGAGGUCACCAAGGAAGUGGGAGAAAGCCAUCAGCCACAUGCUUCACCCAACUCUCACACAGCCUGCAGCCCGAAAGACUGGUCUUACUCCACCAUGCUCCCCCAAUGACACCAAGUUUAUUUCCAGGCAGCAGAUGAGCAAGGCUGAGAACGUGCCCCAGAGUACAAGUCUUACAACUAAGAAGAUACAUCGACUCACAGUUCCUUGGCUGUCCCAUGGAGCCAGCAGCAGCAAUCCCCCUCCUUCAAAGGAUAUAUGGAGUAUCUCAGCUUUCCUGAACCCCCAGAUGGGACCAUCUAGCUGCAGGAAAACAAGGUCAGGGCUCCCACAGAUUCUGCACUAUGUUUUCCUGGGAUUACUCAUGCCUGCAGUCCACUGCCAGGUUUUCCUGAGGCUGAUUACUGUGAGAAGGCCACAUCCUGGGCAACCUUGUCUCGCAGGAGCCUAGACCAGGCUGUUCAAAAAGUGGAAGGAGAACUUCAAAAGCCACAAGAUGUAAAUCUUGAUACAGCACUUUUUAGCACCUGCUUACAUUAGACUGCCUAAAGAGACUUUGGCCAAAGCAAGUCACAUGGCUAAUCCAGGUUCAAGUGGUGGAUAAAUAGAUUCCACCUGUUAAUGAAAGGAACUUCAAAGUAUUGAGGUCCUAGUACUCCUGGUCACAAUUGUUCACAUUUUUCCUCCAAAAAAUAUGUGCUCACUUCCACCCCAGAAUCCUCAAAAACCUUUUUAAAUUACACUAUCAAACUUGAAGUGUAGGAUCCCAUGGUCUCUAUUGAUCUGUGUCUAGAUGACGUUCCUCUGGUGUCUAGUAAGCUAAGUUAUCUGUAUUUGUCCCCCUAGAAACAUACACUCCUAACAUACAGUGGUGAGAUAGGAACAACACGACUGCGGAGGAAGUAAGUGACAGACACAAAGCAGUCAUUGGUUCAUUGGUAUGAUGAAAUUCUAGACAAAUGCUGCCAGGAUCUCUUCUCUAAGGAUAACGUCUAGUUAUCUUCCUGGAAGUGGUUUCCAGUUCACUAUUCUCUACUGUAUCAUUACAGUGAUUCCUUCAUCCAUCCUCUUGUCUUCUCAGAUCUUCACUUUACCCUCUAGACUCCAGGUUCCUCCUCUGAGAUGUGCUCCCUCUUCUGUAAGAAAAACUGAGUUUAUUUCUCAAUCUGAUUCCUGUCCAUAGAAAAUGGAAGGUACAGAGGCUUUUAUGCAAUUUUCUCAGUCCCUUUAUUUCAAUUUGGGUCGCAUUUACUUAUAAAACUCUUAAAAAAAUUGUGGGCUUUCUAUGUAUCAGAUAAUAGACAACUUCAUUUGAUAAAAAGCUAUUUUCUUCCUUGUUUCCAGACAGGCUUUCUAUAUUUUGGAUAAGUAAGGCCACUUAAACCCUUUAGAGAUCUUAAGAUCUGAGGGUCUUAAGACUACACUCUCAGUUUGAUCUGAUGCCAUAACCUCAAUUUUAUCAUCAUGAACCUGAUGCUACAUUUGUUUGGUAGUGAUUUGGAUUUCAUUUCUAGGUUUUAUGUAUUUGAAGAAUUUAACUUUGCUGUAGCAAAAUGGUUUCAUUUUCUAGCUCAUCGUGGCCCAUUUAUAUUCUCCCUAAAUUCUUCUUGCAAAGGGAACCGUUCCUUAGCCUCCUGACUAGCUUGGACUACAGGCGUUCCACUGUGCCCAGCUAAUUUUUAAAAUAUAUUUGUAGAGAUAAGAUCUCAAUAUGUUGCCAAGGCUACUCUUAAAAUGCUAGACUCAAUCCUCCUGCCUUGGCCUCCCAAAGUGCUACAAUUAUAGGUGUGAGCCACCAUGCCCAAAUUAGUCUCUGUUUAAAGUUUUCAUCUGUAUUUUCAAGUUCCUUCAGCAUUUUUUUUUAUUUCUAGACAUUAUGUUUGUUUUUUCUGUUUGGUUUUUAACAUAAAAUAAUAUAUACAUAUACAUUAAGAUCAUAUAUAUAUAUAUAUGCAUAAUCUGUCUCAUCUUUCAUAUCCUGAAUUGUUUUUCUACAUAUUGUUUUAAAACUUUCUCUUGGAUCUCAACUAGCUUCCUUGCAAUUCAUAUUUUUAAUUAUUCAUCUGUCAUUUUGGAAUUUUCAGUUUGGUUAGUAUGCAUUGCUAUUCUGUAGCAACAGUGCCAUCCUUAGGGUUGGCAAAAGACUCUGUCAUAUUGUACAACUGGAAUUCUUACUCUGAGUCAUUCUCAUCUGGAGAUGGAGCCACUUCUUAUUUUUGAAUUUGUUUUCAUUAGAUGAGAUUUUUAAAUUUUCUAUUAUUUUCUCCCUUGAGGGUGUAACUGUAAUGUAUGUUAUUUAUGAUAGUUUGUGGGUGUUUUCAGAAGCUCAGUGCUCUAUAUGAGUUCCUUGGCUUUAGGUAACUUUUGAGUGGGGCUUCUCCAAUGCUGAUUGUUGUAGCAAUCUAUUGGGCAUGUGACUCGGGUCACUAUCUUCUGCGAGGGAUGGAAGGGCUGGGGUCUCAGGAAGCCUAUCUGGCACGAUGCCCUUCUAUCAGCAGGAUUUUGUUUGGUUUGUAAUCUAGUAGGUAGCAUUUAUAAGUAAGAGUAAAAUCAUCCUCUGAUACCCUGAUGACGAGCAGAAGCAUGGCCCUGACAGUUUCUUGGAGAGCUUGUGGUGGAAUGCACUAAGGUCUCCAUGGCAGUGGAUGGGGAAGAGGAUUGCAUCAGCUCCUCAUCCUGAGGGAGCAGGAAUGCAGUCUGCUUUCCUAUCACCUCCUCCCUAUAUUCCAGGGCAUCUGGUUUUCAGUUUAGAUAAACACUGUACCUAUCCGCAGGCUGCAGUGGAACUGAGGUCCUCAAAAUGCCCAUCCCAUGGCUACCACCAAUAUAACUUCAGGGCAUAAUCUCUUUCUUCUGCCCAAAACAGACAUCCCUGUGGCUUGUCCACAGUUCCCUGCAUGAACCCUGCUGUUCUGCUUAGGAAGUGGAGGUUAGCCACACCCUCUGAGCCAGCCCAUAGCCCAGGCAUUUGUAGAAUUUAAAAUUAUUAUUACUAUACUUCUACUGGCUUAAAGAAUUAUAAUAGUGAACAAUUUUUUUCUAAUAUUUUCCCUCUUUUUUCUUCAGCAUACACCUUGGUCACCACCUAUUUUAAAGUCCUUCUUUUGCAAAACAUUUGCCAACUAAAAAAGAAACUUGGCAAAGCUUUUUUUUUUUUUUUUUUUUUUUUUUUUGAGACAGAGUUUUACUCUUGUUACCCAGGCUGGAGUGCAAUGGCAUGAUCUCGGCUCACCGCAACCUCCGCGUCCUGGGUUCAGACAAUUCUCCUACCUCAGCCUCCUGAGUAGCUGGGAUUACAGGCAUGCGCCACCAUGCCCAGCUAAUUUUUUGUAUUUUUAGUAGAGACGGGGUUUCACCAUGUUGACCAGGAUGGUCUCAAUCUCUUGACCUCGUGAUCCACCUGCCUCGGCCUCCCAAAGUGCUGGGAUUACAGGCCUUUGCACAGCUUUAAAGAACUAAAGUUAGUUUUAUUUAGAAGUCUUACUAAGGACUAGAGAGUAAAUCCUAUAACCCAGAAACGUUUAUAUGGGACUAUCCCAGCACAGUAUUUCAGCCCACUGUUUAUAUACGGUAGGUGGGGGCUCAGUACAUGUAACAUCACAUCAAACUUGCUCAGAAAUUACAUUGAAGCAGAAAUACAUCAAAGUAUAGGUGUAAGAAUACAUCUGGUUAUACAUUACAGAAGCAUAACCAACCCCAUCAGACAUCUUAUGUGCAGAAAAAAGACAGUGACGAGGGUCGUUUAUCUUUUAAGGAAUAGAGUGACUCGGGGAAAAGAUGUGAGGAAUCAGGUGCUCUAUCCUGUUUUGUUUUCAAAGCAUCCCUCUGGAGAGCAGCACAUUGUCAUGGAGUCAGGGGUACAAGCAGAAAAGAGCAAGCAUGGCUUCUUACAUUUCCUGCUUUGUUUCACACUUUGAAAAUAGAACAAAAUUAAAAUCCAAAAUUUUUAAGCAAAAAAUGUUUGUUUGAAAUGAAAAUAUGUGCUUUUAGUAAUUUGGAAAGUCAUAGGUGCUUGACUGUGGCUAUGUUUUCAGAAAAGGUAAAAUUACAAAAAAGAAAAUAUGAUGUGUAUUUUGACCCAGUGAUAGUUCUCUGAAGCUGAAACCCUAGUUUUGUGCAAAAUACAGACGUGAAACAGUUAUUUAACAAAACAAUCAGACAAAAAUGAAAUCUUUUCUUGUUUCUAUUAGCAUUCAAUAUCCUCAGAAGAACAUAUCUUUUAGCCUUUGGAUAAAACCAAGUGGGCUGGGCACAGUGUCUCAGACCUGUAAUCCCAGCACUUUGGGAGGCCUAGGCGGGCGCAUCACCUGAGGUCAGAAGUUCAAGAUCAGCCUGACCAAAAUAGCGAAACCCUGUCUAUACUAAAAACACAAAAAUUAGCCCAGCAUGGUGGCGCAUUCCUGUAAUCCCAUUCUGGAGGCUGAGAUAGGAGAAUCGCUUGAACCAGAGAGGCAGAGGCUGCAGUGAGCCAAGUUUGUACCACUGUACUCCAGGCUGGGCAAAAGAGUGAGACUUUGUCUAAAAAAUAAAUAAUAAAUUUAAAAAAAAUUUUUUUUAAAC
rnacentral:lncRNA from 13 species